UACGUAGGGUGCGAGCGUUAAUCGGAAUUACUGGGCGUAAAGUGUGCGCAGGCGGCUUCGCAAGUCGAGUGUGAAAUCCCCGAGCUUAACUUGGGAAUUGCGCUCGAAACUACGGAGCUGGAGUGUGGCAGAGGAAGGUGGAAUUCCACGUGUAGCGGUGAAAUGCGCAGAUAUCAGGAGGAACACCGAUUGCGAAGGCAGCUCGCUGGGACGUUACUGACGCUGAGACGCGAAAGCGUGGGGAGCAAACAGG
rnacentral:rRNA from 1 species